rnacentral:piRNA from 1 species
UCUUGGGACAGAUGUGCCCGUGCAUC